GACGAACGCUGGCGGCGUGCUUAACACAUGCAAGUCGAACGGAAAGGCCCUGCUUUUGUGGGGUGCUCGAGUGGCGAACGGGUGAGUAACACGUGAGUAACCUGCCCUUGACUUUGGGAUAACUUCAGGAAACUGGGGCUAAUACCGGAUAGGAGCUCCUGCUGCAUGGUGGGGGUUGGAAAGUUUCGGCGGUUGGGGAUGGACUCGCGGCUUAUCAGCUUGUUGGUGGGGUAGUGGCUUACCAAGGCUUUGACGGGUAGCCGGCCUGAGAGGGUGACCGGCCACAUUAGGACUGAGAGACGGCCCAGACUCCUACGGGAGGCAGCAGUGGGGAAUAUUGCACAAUGGGGGGAAGCCUGAUGCAGCAACGCCGCGUGCGGGAUGACGGCCUUCGGGUUGUAAACCGCUUUCGCCUGUGACGAAGCGUGAGUGACGGUAAUGGGUAAAGAAGCACCGGCUAACUACGUG
rnacentral:rRNA from 1 species